rnacentral:rRNA from 1 species
CGGACGGGUGAGUAACGCGUGGGUAACCUGCCUCAUACAGGGGGAUAACAGUUAGAAAUGACUGCUAAUACCGCAUAAGACCACAGAGCCGCAUGGCUCGGUGGGAAAAACUCCGGUGGUAUGAGAUGGACCCGCGUCUGAUUAGGUAGUUGGUGGGGUAACGGCCUACCAAGCCAACGAUCAGUAGCCGGACUGAGAGGUUGACCGGCCACAUUGGGACUGAGAUACGGCCCAG